AUUGAACGCUGGCGGCAUGCCUUACACAUGCAAGUCGAACGGCAGCACGGGGCAACCUGGUGGCGAGUGGCGAACGGGUGAGUAAUGCAUCGGAACGUACCUUUCAGUGGGGGAUAACGUAGCGAAAGUUACGCUAAUACCGCAUAUUCUGUGAGCAGGAAAGCAGGGGAUCGCAAGACCUUGCGCUGAUUGAGCGGCCGAUGUCAGAUUAGCUAGUUGGUGAGGUAAAGGCUCACCAAGGCGACGAUCUGUAGCGGGUCUGAGAGGAUGAUCCGCCACACUGGAACUGAGACACGGUCCAGACUCCUACGGGAGGCAGCAGUGGGGAAUAUUGGACAAUGGGGGGACCCUGAUCCAGCCAUGCCGCGUGUGUGAAGAAGGCCUUAUGGUUGUAAAGCACUUUAAGCGAGGAGGAGGCUCUUUUGGUUAAUACCCAAGAUGAGUGGACGUUACUCGCAGAAUAAGCACCGGCUAACUCUGUGCCAGCAGCCGCAGUAAGAC
rnacentral:rRNA from 1 species